AAUGUAAAAUCACAAGGCGUCGGAUUCGGAUCUUUUUAACCCUAAAUCAAUGUCAGCAAUGAAGAAUAAGAGACAGGCCUUCUCUACUGGGCAUGAUUGCAUCGCUUCACUGCUGCGAAGAUCAUGAUCAUGAGCGUCGCAACUGUAUAGGAGCAUUACGUUCCCAAGUCCAGUGCAUGCAAUUAUGGAAGUAGCUAGCUAGCAUAACAUCGCCACAAAAGCAGCACUCUCUAUAUUUGUAAAAGCACAGGGAUGGACAUCCUACGCCAUUGAAAAUACACAAACGAAUAAAACUGGUUGUUCGUCAUAAACAUAAUAAACCCUCCAGAUUCCGAAUCCCAGGUACAGAGCUGAUAUACAAUAUAGGUCCUCUACCAUUAAGGCGAACCGCAACAUGUGGAGAGGUAUCACAUCUGGGUCGUGGCAUUGGGAGCGUUCGGUUUUCUUGUCCUAUCUUCCUUAGCCCACGACGUCCUCGUUGUCACCCAAGAAAUCAUCGAUCAGGAAGUCGGCCGGCACAGAGGAGCUCUUGUUCAGUUUUACGCCCCUUGAUACAUCCAACAUUUUUGCUUCAUUAUGAUGUAAAAUCUCUGGGGUGAUCUUUCCUGUGUUUCAACGGUGUGAUCUCUGUAAAAAGUUUGCCCUUUGGAGUAUGAAAAGUUAGGUACCAGCUUCAAGAAAGCCAGGUCUGUUCUAAUCGGAAAGGUUAUAUAGCACUCUGGUGUUGUUCUGCCCUUCACGCCUUUUGAAUGCUGCAUGCAUCGCCCAUGUUCAUCUUUGUGAUUGUUGGCAUAUUUUAGCUGUAAUUUUCCGCUAAAUAAAUAUUUAAACCUAAAAUAAAUUAUCUGCAACAAACUUGAGAAUAUCUUCAGAAGGAAUUGCUUUCUUACAAAAUAAUUUACAGUUAAUAACAUUUGACAAUUAUGUUGCUUCAUGGGGAUAUCCUUAACCACUGGAUAAAUUUUAGCACUUUUGUUUUCUUUCUUUCUUUUUCCUUUUCUUUUAAAUAUUGAGAAUCCAUUGGGGUUACUUGUGCUGCGGGUGGAAUGUGAUCAACACUAGAGUUUGUGCCAAAAAUAUGGCGUUUCUAGAUGCCCAACAAUUCAAUGGUUUCCCCUAGAAUCUGUGGAACCCAAAAGGUGAGUAGAAAGUUCAGCCAAUCAAAGGAUAAUUUGAUUAAGUUUUAUAUCUGAUUGCCUAGUUUCUUACUUAAUUUGCUUUCCACUUUUCCUCCCACCCCUUUUCACUUUGUGACCCAUUUUGGAAAAUUUUUGAAGGUAUGAAGGGCCAUGGACCGCAGAAUCUCUUGCUGAGUUUGUAAAUAAAGAGGGAGGUACUGGCUGACACUUUUGAAGCCGUGUGGCGUGCCUUAAUGUCUAAUUAUAUCAGAAAUUUGUGUAAUUUCCAAGGAAAUAUAGUUCAGUAAUUACACAGAAUCAUAUUCUCAAGGAGCCAACUUGCAACUGUAAAUCUUUAAAUUUUAAUUGACAGUGAAAGUUCACAACGCCACAUAAGUAGAUUCCGUGAAUUUUAAACAUUGAAAAGUGAAAACUGCACAAUAUUGUUUGGUCUUAGCUAGCACUCACCUUACCUGGUGAGUGGGGUGGAGAUACCUGACCAGAGGAUUGGCAUAAAAGCAGGAACCAAGGUGAAGAUUACUACAGACUCCGUCCAAGGUAGUGGUACUGACUCCCAACAACUUUGAUGAGGUCGUCUUGGAUGAGAACAAAGACGUCUUGGUUAAGUUUUAUGCACCACGUACUCACAAUUUCUUUUUGGUUUCUUAUGGUUAUUAUUUCUCCUUAUCUUUAAUUCACACAGUUUUUGGGUUGGUCCCAAUUUCAAAAGGCAAAGGCUAUGUCUUGUUUUCAAUUUCCUUCCUAUGUUAUCAUGCGAUUUUGAGUCAUCUCCAUCAAUCAGUUUCAGAUCUUACAAGUUUUUCUGAUUUUUCCAGGUGCAGACAUUGCAGAGAACUUGCUUCUACUUAUGAGACGGUGGCUGCGGCAUUUAAAAUGGAGGAAGGGCGGUGAUCGCAAAUCUGGAUGCUGACAAGUAUAAGGAUCUUGGGUCGAAGUAUGAUGUUAAAAGCAUUUCCAGCAUUGAAGUUCUUUCCAAAGAGCAAGAAAGCCGGUGAAGUUUAUGGGGGAGGUAGAGACUUGGAUGAAAUCGUAGCUUUCAUCAAUGAUAAAUGUGGCACAAGUAGAGACCGAGAUGGACAGCUCACGUCAAAAGUUGGUAUAGUUGAAAGCUUGGAUGCCUUGGAAAUGGAGUUUGUAGGUGCAAAUUAAGAAGAGAAGAAGGCCAUAGUUGCCCGAAGGGAAGAGGAAGUAGGGAAGCUUAAGGGGCCUGCUCUAGGUUGUACGGGAAGAUUUACUUGAAAGCUGCCAGGAAUUGCAUGGAGAAAGAGUCUGAUUACGCCAAGGACGAAAUCCAGCGCCUGCAUCGCAUGCUUGGCAAGGCAAGGUCGGGUGAGUGAUAAUUUGGGCGGUUAAGUGGGAAGAGCUGUACUGGGGAAAGUCUUUUUCCAUUGCGUGAAUGAAAAGGCGGUUAAGUGGGAAGAGCUGUAGUGGGGAAAGUCUUUUUCCAUUGCGUGAAUGAAAAGACAGAUAUUGUUGAUUAUUCAUUCUGAGGUGGGUUUUGAUUGGUGCGGCCUGUGAGGCCAGCGAAGGCAGACGAGUUUGCUAUAAAGAAAAAUAUAUUGCGGACAUUGGAGUGACAGCAGAGUGGGAUCCACCGACAGAAUUGAAUUUUUUUGGAAGAUUUUGAGGUGUUGAACGUACACAUUGCCACGCCAGCAAGUCGCUUUCUCUGACGUUGAUAAUUUAUCAACACCUUGUGCUGUUGUGCAUCGAUCUGCACAGUACUGCUACAUGUUAAAUGCCCGUUUUGAAGAAUACGCUCGGCUUCAGGGAAGCGGAACAUCUGGGUAUGGUUUGCAGUCUGAUGAAUUUGUUUUGGGAAGGGUACAUCACGACCCUUCACCACAUGCCAAUGAACGAGUGCAGAGCACCACUUGCUUGCCUCCUCGUUUUGUCUAUUCUUCAACUUGUCUCCCUGCUUUAAAUUAGUUGUGACAGGAUUCUGGGUCAACGAAAAAUAAACCAUACUGUUUUUUCGCUUUCAAAAUGGAAUCAUCUAGUCAUUGAAGUUGAUGGUUGAUGUUGGCCAUCACCUGUCAUCGUGUAAUGUGUACUCUUUUUAUAAAUUAUUUUUAUCAAUCUUA